rnacentral:rRNA from 1 species
CCUACGGGGGGCUGCAGUGGGGAAUAUUGGACAAUGGGGGCAACCCUGAUCCAGCCAUGCCGCGUGUGUGAAGAAGGCCCUCGGGUUGUAAAGCACUUUCAGUGAGGAAGAACGCCUGGUGGUUAAUACCCAUCAGGAAAGACAUCACUCACAGAAGAAGCACCGGCUAACUCCGUGCCAGCAGCCGCGGUAAUACGGAGGGUGCGAGCGUUAAUCGGAAUUACUGGGCGUAAAGCGCGCGUAGGUGGCUUGAUAAGCCGGUUGUGAAAGCCCCGGGCUCAACCUGGGAACGGCAUCCGGAACUGUCAAGCUAGAGUGCAGGAGAGGAAGGUAGAAUUGCCGGUGUAGCGGUGAAAUGCGUAGAGAUCGGGAGGAAUACCAGUGGCGAAGGCGGCCUUCUGGACUGACACUGACACUGAGGUGCGAAAGCGUGGGUAGCAAACAGGAUUAGAUACCCGUGUAGUC